UACGAGGGCGUGCAAGCUGUUGCUACGGAAUUGAUUGGGCGUAAAGGGCAAGUAGGUGGUCUCAUUUGUCUGGGGUGAAAGCCUUGAGCUUAACUCAAGAAGUGCCCCGGAAACGGUGAGACUCGAGUAUUGGAGAGGGUCGUGGAAUUCCCGGUGUAGCGGUGAAAUGCGUAGAGAUCGGGAGGAACACCUAUGGCGGAAGGCAGCUCGCUGGGACGUUACUGACGCUGAGACGCGAAAGCGUGGGGAGCAAACAGG
rnacentral:rRNA from 1 species